rnacentral:rRNA from 1 species
CCUACGGGAGGCAGCAGUGGGGAAUAUUGCACAAUGGGGGAAACCCUGAUGCAGCAACGCCGCGUGAGUGAAGAAGUAUUUCGGUAUGUAAAGCUCUAUCAGCAGGGAAGAGAAUGACGGUACCUGACUAAGAAGCCCCGGCUAACUACGUGCCAGCAGCCGCGGUAAUACGUAGGGGGCAAGCGUUAUUCGGAUUUACUGGGGGUAAAGGGAGCGUAGACGGCUGUACAAGUCUGAAGUGAAAGCCCGGGGCUCAACCGCGGAACUGCUUUGGAAACUGUAAAGCUGGAGUCCUGUAGAGGCAGGCGGAAUUCCUGGUGUAGCGGUGAAAUGCGUAGAGAUUAGGAGGAACACCAGUGGCGAAGGCGGCCUGCUGGACAGAAACUGACGUUGAGGCUCGAAAGCGUGGGGAGCAAACAGGAUUAGAUACCCCGGUAGUC